UCAGUGUUAUGCUUGUUGAAUUUUUCUCUUUUUAUUUAAAUCAAAUUUUUGUUGGGGUGGACUUGUCCUUUAAACAAGCCAAAGCAGCCUUGAAAACCCACAUCCUGACUUGGCUUUCCAUAGUGGUUUCAAAGACCACUUAAGAUUGCUUCCAAUUAACCACUUCGAGCAGCCCCAUUACAUGUUAUAUGGUUUCCACUAUUAGAACUUUUAAAACUGAUUUUGAAAACUAGGUUAAGGAAAUAGAGAAUGGGUUCUAAUACAAACUACAUUAUAUAUUACAUGCACAUUUUAUAUAUAUCACACAAAAACUAUUAUUGCAAAAUACUUACGUGCAAAUGCACGCCAUAAAAGGAAAGACGAGGGUGAUAUAAUGCAUUUCACUAAAUUCAAGGUGAAAUAUAUAUUAGACAAUAAGUCAAGGUGUAAAUACAUUAUACAUGUAUACAUGUACCAUCAUGUCAUGCAAAUGAUUUACUUCUAUGGAGUUUCUGAGCCCCAUGUAUAAUAAAUGUACAUUUACAUUAAAUAUUAUUGAAAAUUUCAUUUUUAAAAUUCGCUCUAGAAAGAACAUGAUUAAUACUUGAUUCUACUCCAGUUUUGUCUAAAAGCUGAAUUACAGCAAUAUUUUUUUGUUUUUUGGGGGGAGUAGUGAUGUAAAUAGCUUCACUUGUUAUUGCUUUUAGGUACAUGUACAUUUGUAUUACCGGAUAUGUAAAAUGAACUUUCUUUGUUGUUCAGGACUGUUUUUUGUUCUGAAUCAUUCAUAUUUGCCAUGAUUGGGUAUACAUUGUAAAGGGAGGGGGUGGGGUAAAUACAUGUACUGUACAUGUAUUGUUCACCUUAAAACCAUUGUCAAAAUCAGCUUAUUUAUCUUAAAGGCAAUGAAGCAUAUUGAUUGGUCCUCCGGGUAUACUUUAUUUGUGUGAUCUCCAAGGUUCUACAUGUAUAUCUGAGACAGGAGAACCCAUCCCUCCCCCAACUAGGGGGGAGCAAUCUAUCACCACUGCUCUUCAGAUAAAUUACUUGUUUUACAAUAUUAUCACAUACAUGAGUAGGCUAAGAAGCCCACAUUGUAAAGAUAUAAAGUGGACAAUA